rnacentral:rRNA from 1 species
CCUACGGGUGGCAGCAGUCGAGAAUUAUUCACAAUGGGGGAAACCCUGAUGGUGCGACGCCGCGUGGGGGAAUGAAGGUCUUCGGAUUGUAAACCCCUGUCAUGUUGGAGCAAAUAACACAGAUAGUACCACAAGAGGAAUAGACGGCUAACUCGGUGCCAGCAGCCGCGGUAAUACAGAGGUCCCAAGCGUUGUCCGGAAUCACUGGGCGUAAAGCGUGCGUAGGCUGUUUGGUAAGGCGGGUGUGAAAGGCUCGGGCUCAACACGCGGACGGCACAUGCUACUGCGGGACUAGAGUGAUGGAGGGGGAACCGGAAUGUAUGGUGUAGCAGUGAAAUGCGUAGAGAUC